rnacentral:rRNA from 1 species
UACGUAGGUCGCAAGCGUUGUCCGGAUUUACUGGGCGUAAAGAGCGCGCAGGCGGCUGGUCAAGUCCGAUGUGAAAUCUCCCGGCUCAACUGGGAAACUGCAUCGGAAACUGAUCGGCUUGAAGGUGGGAGAGGGUAGUGGAAUUCCCGGUGUAGUGGUGAAAUGCGUAGAUAUCGGGAGGAACACCAGUGGCGAAGGCGACUACCUGGCCCAUUCUUGACGCUGAGGCGCGAAAGCUAGGGGAGCGAACCGG